CAAGGUGUAGCUAAGACAGUAGAGCGUUUCCCUUACACUGAAGAGUCCCCCGUGCAAUUCGGAGCACCUUGA
rnacentral:tRNA from 1 species